UCCCACCCACUGUUAUCGCUACCGUCGUUUCUUUGGCGGGCCGCUGGGCCCUGCCCGGCCGCCGGCUCCGGCUGGCGCGCGCCCGCCAGAGACCCCCCAAACUCUGAAUGUUAGUGUCGUCUGAGUACUAUACAAUAGUUAAAACUUUCAACAACGGAUCUCUUGGUUCUGGCAUCGAUGAAGAACGCAGCGAAAUGCGAUAAGUAAUGCGAAUUGCAGAAUUCAGUGAGUCAUCGAAUCUUUGAACGCACAUUGCGCCCUGUGGUAUUCCGCAGGGCAUGCCUGUUCGAGCGUCAUUUCAACCCUCAAGCUCUGCUUGGUGUUGGGCCCAGCCCGUCGCGGCCGGCCCCAAAGACAGUGGCGGCGCCGUCGGGCCCUAAGCGUAGUACAUCUCUCGCUCUAGGGCCCCGUGGUGGCUUGCCAGCAACCCCAACUCCUAUGGUUGACCUCGGAUCAGGUAGGGAUACCCGCUGAACUUAAGCAUAUCA
rnacentral:rRNA from 1 species